rnacentral:rRNA from 1 species
AACGGCCAUACCAUGCUGAAUAUACCGGUUCUCGUUCACCGAUCAGCGAAGUCAAGCAUCAUUGGGCGCGGUCAGUACUUGGGUGGGUGACCACCUGGGAACACCGCGUGCCGUU